rnacentral:rRNA from 1 species
CCUACGGGUGGCAGCAGUGAGGAAUAUUGGUCAAUGGACGAGAGUCUGAACCAGCCAAGUAGCGUGAAGGAUGACUGCCCUAUGGGUUGUAAACUUCUUUUAUAUGGGAAUAAAAUGUUCCACGUGUGGGAUUUUGUAUGUACCAUAUGAAUAAGGAUCGGCUAACUCCGUGCCAGCAGCCGCGGUAAUACGGAGGAUCCGAGCGUUAUCCGGAUUUAUUGGGUUUAAAGGGAGCGUAGGUGGAUUGUUAAGUCAGUUGUGAAAGUUUGCGGCUCAACCGUAAAAUUGCAGUUGAAACUGGCAGUCUUGAGUACAGUAGAGGUGGGCGGAAUUCGUGGUGUAGCGGUGAAAUGCUUAGAUAUCACGAAGAACUCCGAUUGCGAAGGCAGUUCACUGGACUGCAACUGACACUGAGGCUCGAAAGUGUGGGUAUCAAACAGGAUUAGAUACCCUAGUC